rnacentral:rRNA from 1 species
CCUACGGGAGGCAGCAGUGAGGAAUAUUGGUCAAUGGACGAGAGUCUGAACCAGCCAAGUAGCGUGAAGGAUGACUGCCCUAUGGGUUGUAAACUUCUUUUAUAUGGGAAUAAAAUGUUCCACGUGUGGGAUUUUGUAUGUACCAUAUGAAUAAGGAUCGGCUAACUCCGUGCCAGCAGCCGCGGUAAUACGGAGGAUCCGAGCGUUAUCCGGAUUUAUUGGGUUUAAAGGGAGAGUAGGUGGAUUUUUAAGUCAGUUGUGAAAGUUUGCGGCUCAACCGUAAAAUUGCAGUUGAAACUGGCAGUCUUGAGUACAGUAGAGGUGGGCGGAAUUCGUGGUGUAGCGGUGAAAUGCUUAGAUAUCACGAAGAACUCCGAUUGCGAAGGCAGUUCACUGGACUGCAACUGACACUGAGGCUCGAAAGUGUGGGUAUCAAACAGGAUUAGAUACCCGUGUAGUC